rnacentral:rRNA from 1 species
UGGGGAAUUUUGGACAAUGGGCGAAAGCCUGAUCCAGCAAUGCCGCGUGCAGGAAGAAGGCCUUCGGGUUGUAAACUGCUUUUGUACGGAACGAAAAGGCUCUUUCUAAUAAAGAGGGCCCAUGACGGUACCGUAAGAAUAAGCACCGGCUAACUACGUGCCAGCAGCCGCGGUAAUACGUAGGGUGCGAGCGUUAAUCGGAAUUACUGGGCGUAAAGCGUGCGCAGGCGGUUCUAUAAGACAGAUGUGAAAUCCCCGGGCUCAACCUGGGAAUGGCAUUUGUGACUGUAGAGCUAGAGUACGGUAGAGGGGGAUGGAAUUCCGCGUGUAGCAGUGAAAUGCGUAGAUAUGCGGAGGAACACCGAUGGCGAAGGCAAUCCCCUGGACCUGUACUGACGCUCAUGCACGAAAGCGUGGGGAGCAAACAGGAUUAGAUACCCUGGUAGUCCCUGAGCGGGCUGGCAAGGCGCAU